rnacentral:lncRNA from 1 species
GGCAGCUUAGGCAAGUUAAUUAUAACUUGUUAGAACUAUAAAAUUGGUUGAUAUGAGGUUCUGAAUGGUAGAAGUGAAGUUGAGCCCUUAGGUUGAGGAAAAACUAGUGUUUUGAAUGAGUUUAGAGGAAGUGAGAGGGUGUUUUUGAGUAACUGAGGUCUAGGGUGCAAGUGGGCAGUGGGGACAACUUGAUUGAGUCAUUUGAGACUUGUUUGAAGUGCUAAAUUUGCUAAAAACAGUUUCUAAUUGGUAAAUUUUGGUUUGAGUCUCUAAGUUGUGAAAUUAGAGAUUUUAGGGUCUAAAACAAUGCAUAAAUACUUCAUAAUGUGUUUAGAAAGAGUUAGGAUCACUUAAACAAGUUUAAUUCAACCUGUAGGAUGAAUUAGGGGUGGAAGAAAGGCAUAAAAAGGCCUAAAACGAAAUGAGAGUGGGUGAGUUCUG